AUUAAAACAUUUUGAUUAUAACAUUCCCACUUCAGCUUAAAAUGCUAUUUAAAUUUACCAUUUUUACAUUAAAUAAGGUCAAUGGAAGGUUGGAUGUAUAAUUGUCGCUCAGUUCAGUUUCCAUUCCAGACAUCACAGGCAGUGCUCUCUUUUUGUUUUUUUUUUCCAUCAAGUCUUGAUAUCGUGAAGUAAUUUCAUUUCCACCUUUAUUUGAAUGAACUCACUGUUUUGUUGAAUGUCUGGUUAUAUAACAUAACAAAUGUAACAUUUACAUAGUAAUUUCUUUGUAUAGAAGAGUCAUUUGAAUAUAGUGUGCAUGUAUAGAGAAUUGUAGAUAAAAUGUGUAUAUUAAUGUAGAUUUCUAAUGCGAAACAGUUGUUUGACUAUUGUACCCAUAAAGAUGUUGUAAAAAUGCAUUUACCAAACCAAACUAACAAUUUGUGCAGUUCCUCUGUAAACCAAACUGCAACAACAUUUUUUUUUUCUUUUAUACCCACUUAAGGAAACAGAGUAAUUCCUUUGUUUACAGUUGCUGGUGUCUCUUCCAAUACGGCUCGAUCUCUGAAUGAAUUCAUACAUGUGCACAUGUACAACUGAAUAAUAGUAGAUUUAUCUUGUAUGAAUCUUUUCCAAUAAAA